CAUGAAAGCAGAAAUCGACAGUAGCACAGUAAUAAUGGGGAACUUUAACACUUCACUUACACCAAUGGACAGAUCAUCGAAAAUGAAAAUAAAUAAGGAAAACAGAAGCUUUAAAUGACACAACAGA